rnacentral:lncRNA from 1 species
UAUUAUUUAAAAAAAUUAAAAAUAAAUAAAAAUUUCCAUAUAAAGUAAAUAUUCAAUAGGCAUUAAAGUGAAACCGAACGCAAUAAAACAAGAGAAAGUCAUUACACUUCCUUUUAGCUACAGACCAAUGAACUUGCAGCUGUUAUGUCAGAAGAGCGGCCUACUUUGCACGUCCUUGAAUGACGAUAGCGCAAAGUCUUCCCCCUUCCAGUUCGAUUCACCUUUGGAACUUUGCCAAUAUAUAAAGGCAUACAAACUGCAGCAAAUGAUUCAAACAACUUUUUUUUUCGGCUUCAGUCCAAUAAGUUGUUGCGUCCGGCUUUGUGUGUCAAUCAAAUAUUUAUUAUGUCGGUAACCAGAUUGUUUCGUUCGUGUUUAUAUUAUUUGUUGUGUUAAGAAAUAUUUUACAGAAUCAUCGUAUUUUUCCCUAUGCAUAUAAUGAUUGACAGUAUAUCAUAGAUCAAUUUAGGUCAAUGAAACACCACGGAAGUUUUUAAAACAAUAGUUAUAUUUUUAAUAUGAAAAACAAAACAAGACAAAAAUAUAUAAUUAUUUAAUUCUUUGAAAGAAUUAAGUGAUUUUAAUAAUUAUUAAAAUCAUUUAAUUCAUUACAUACACUUCCUUAGAUGUAGGAAGAGUUUACAGUCUGUCAAAUAAGUAGAAGGACAGAAGAAAAGUUUUCACAAGGGAUACAGAAAAGAAUUUUUAUCCAUGAAAAGUUUCAUGAAGAUGUGAAGGGAUGAAUAUAAAAAUAUGACAAUUGAAAAUAAUUAC